AUUGAACGCUGGCGGAAUGCUUUACACAUGCAAGUCGAACGGCAGCACGGACUUCGGUCUGGUGGCGAGUGGCGAACGGGCGAGUAAUGUAUCGGAACGUGCCCAGUCGUGGGGGAUAACGUAGUGAAAAUUACGCAAAUACCGCAUACGAUCUAUGGAUGAAAGCGGGGGAUCGCAAGACCUCGCGCGAUUGGAGCGGCCGAUAUCAGAUUAGGUAGUUGGUGGGGUAAAGGCCCACCAAGCCAACGAUCUGUAGCUGGUCUGAGAGGACGACCAGCCACACUGGAACUGAGACAUGGUCCAGACUCCUACGGGAGGCAGCAGUGGGGAAUUUUGGACAAUGGGCGAAAGCCUGAUCCAGCCAUUCCGCGUGCAGGAUGAAGGCCCUCGGGUUGUAAACUGCUUUUGUACAGAACGAAAAGGUUUCUACUAAUACUAGGAGCUCAUGACGGUACUGUAAGAAUAAGCACCGGCUAACUACGUGCCAGCCGCCGCGGUAA
rnacentral:rRNA from 1 species